rnacentral:rRNA from 1 species
CCUACGGGGGGCUGCAGUGAGGAAUAUUGGUCAAUGGACGCAAGUCUGAACCAGCCAUGCAGCGUGCAGGAAGACGGCUCUAUGAGUUGUAAACUGCUUUUAUACGAGGGUAAAUCCCGAUACGUGUAUCGGGUUGAAAGUAUCGUACGAAUAAGGAUCGGCUAACUCCGUGCCAGCAGCCGCGGUAAUACGGAGGAUUCAAGCGUUAUCCGGAUUUAUUGGGUUUAAAGGGUGCGUAGGCGGUUCGGUAAGUUAGAGGUGAAAGCCCGGGGCUCAACGCCGGCAUUGCAUUUGAUACUGGCGGGCUAGAGUUUAGUUGAGGUAGGCGGAAUGUAUGGUGUAGCGGUGAAAUGCAUAGAGAUCAUAAAGAACACCGAUUGCGAAGGCAGUUCACCAAACUACGACUGACGUUGAGGCACGAAAGUGUGGGGAGCAAACAGGAUUAGAUACCCGAGUAGUC